rnacentral:rRNA from 1 species
AUUGAACGCUGGCGGCAUGCUUUACACAUGCGAGUCGAACGGUAACAGGGAGCUUGCUCCGCUGACGAGUGGCGAACGGGUGAGUAAUGCGUCGGAACGUGCCGAGUAGUGGGGGAUAACGCAUCGAAAGGUGUGCUAAUAACGCAUACGAACUGAGGUUGAAAGUGGGGGACCUUCGGGCCUCACGCUAUUCGAGCGGCCGACGUCGGAUUAGCUGGUUGGUGAGGUAAAGGCUCACCAAGGCGAAGAUCAGUAGCGGGUCUGAGAGGAUGAUCCGCCACACUGGGACUGAGAAACGGCCCAGACUCCUACGGGAGGCAGCAGUGGGGAAUUUUGGACAAUGGGCGCAAGCCUGAUCCAGCCAUGCCGCGUGUCUGAAGAAGGCCUUCGGGUUGUAAAGGACUUUUGUCCGGGAGCAAAUACCCAGUGCUAAUAACGCUGGGGGCUGAGAGUACCGGAAGAAUAAGCACCGGCUAACUACGUGCCAGCAGCCGCAGUAAUAC